UGGCAAGGUUGGACGACUGGACACCUCGUCU
rnacentral:piRNA from 1 species